UUAGGAGCUUGCUUUUGGAAGAUUCAGUGGCGAACGGGUGAGUAACACGUGAGCAACCUGCCUCAGAGUGGGGGAUAACGUUUGGAAACGAACGCUAAUACCGCAUAACGUACUAAAUUGCAUCAAUUUGGUACCAAAGGAGCAAUCCGCUAAGAGAUGGGCUCGCGUCCGAUUAGAUAGUUGGUGAGGUAAUGGCUCACCAAGUCGACGAUCGGUAGCCGGACUGAGAGGUUGAACGGCCACAUUGGGACUGAGACACGGCCCAGACUCCUACGGGAGGCAGCAGUGGGGAAUAUUGGGCAAUGGGGGAAACCCUGACCCAGCGACGCCGCGUGAGUGAAGACGGCCUUCGGGUUGUAAAGCUCUGUUGCAGAGGACGAUAAUGACGGUACUCUGUGAGGAAGCCACGGCUAACUACGUGCCAGCAGCCGCGGUAAUACGUAGGUGGCAAGCGUUGUCCGGAAUUACUGGGUGUAAAGGGAGCGUAGGCGGGGGCGCAAGUUGGGUGUGAAAUACCGCGGCUUAACCGCGGGACUGCAUCCAAAACUGUGUCUCUUGAGUGAAGUAGAGGUAGGCGGAAUUCCUAGUGUAGCGGUGAAAUGCGUAGAUAUUAGGAGGAACACCAGUGGCGAA
rnacentral:rRNA from 1 species